rnacentral:rRNA from 1 species
ACGGGAGGCAGCAGUGGGGAAUAUUGGACAAUGGGGGAAACCCUGAUCCAGCGACGCCGCGUGAGUGAAGAAGUAUUUCGGUAUGUAAAGCUCUAUCAGCAAGGAAGAAAAUGACGGUACUUGACUAAGAAGCUCCGGCUAAAUACGUGCCAGCAGCCGCGGGAAUACGUAGGGGGCAAGCGUUAUCCGGAUUUACUGGGUGUAAAGGGAGCGUAGACGGUAUGGCAAGUCUGAUGUGAAAACCCAAGGCUCAACCAUGGGACUGCAUUGGAAACUGUCAAACUAGAGUGCAGGAGGGGUAAGCGGAAUUCCUAGUGUAGCGGUGAAAUGCGUAGAUAUUAGGAGGAACACCGGUGGCGAAGGCGGCUUACUGGACUGUAACUGACGUUGAGGCUCGAAAGCGUGGGGAGCAAACAGGAUUAGAUACCCUGGUA